rnacentral:rRNA from 1 species
GAUGAACGCUGGCGGCGUGCUUAACACAUGCAAGUCGAACGGGAAAUAUUUCAUUGAGACUUCGGUGGAUUUGAUUUAUUUCUAGUGGCGGACGGGUGAGUAACGCGUGGGUAACCUGCCUUAUACAGGGGGAUAACAGUCAGAAAUGGCUGCUAAUACCGCAUAAGCGCACAGAGCUGCAUGGCUCAGUGUGAAAAACUCCGGUGGUAUAAGAUGGACCCGCGUUGGAUUAGCUAGUUGGUGGGGUAACGGCCCACCAAGGCGACGAUCCAUGGCCGGCCGGAGAGGGUGAACGGCCACAUUGGGACUGAGACACGGCCCAGACUACUACGGGAGGCAGCGGUAGGGAAUGUUGCAAAAUGGGGGAAACCCUGAUGCAGCGACGCCGCGUGAAGGAAGAAGUAUCUCGGUAUGUAAAAUUCUAUCAGCAGGGAAGAUAGUGACGGUACCUGACUAAGAAGCCCCGGCUAACUACGUG